GAUGAACGCUGGCGGCGUGCCUAAUACAUGCAAGUCGAGCGAACAGACGAGGAGCUUGCUCCUCUGACGUUAGCGGCGGACGGGUGAGUAACACGUGGAUAACCUACCUAUAAGACUGGGAUAACUUCGGGAAACCGGAGCUAAUACCGGAUAAUAUAUUGAACCGCAUGGUUCAAUAGUGAAAGACGGUUUUGCUGUCACUUAUAGAUGGAUCCGCGCCGCAUUAGCUAGUUGGUAAGGUAACGGCUUACCAAGGCAACGAUGCGUAGCCGACCUGAGAGGGUGAUCGGCCACACGGGAACUGAGACACGGUCCAGACUCCUACGGGAGGCAGCAGUAGGGAAUCUUCCGCAAUGGGCGAAAGCCUGACGGAGCAACGCCGCGUGAGUGAUGAAGGUCUUCGGAUCGUAAAACUCUGUUAUUAGGGAAGAACAAAUGUGUAAGUAACUAUGCACGUCUUGACGGUACCUAAUCAGAAAGCACGGCUAACUACGUG
rnacentral:rRNA from 1 species